UACGUAGGGUGCGAGCGUUGUCCGGAAUUAUUGGGCGUAAAGGGCUCGUAGGCGGUCUGUCGCGUCGGGAGUGAAAACUCAGGGCUUAACCCUGAGCCUGCUUCCGAUACGGGCAGACUAGAGGUAUGCAGGGGAGAACGGAAUUCCUGGUGUAGCGGUGGAAUGCGCAGAUAUCAGGAGGAACACCAAGUGCGAAGGCAGCUCGCUGGGACGUUACUGACGCUGAGACGCGAAAGCGUGGGGAGCAAACAGG
rnacentral:rRNA from 1 species